AUUCUAGAUUCUCCGUCAAUCUUGAUGAGGCCACCUCAAGGAGUGACAAAAAGGUGCUUUCCAUUUUGGUGAGCUAUUAUAACCCAGAGAGGAAGGCUGUUGAUGUGGAGCACCUUGGGUCAUUUGAAAUGGUGAAGGUCACCGCAGCAAUCCUGGAGAAUGCCCUGGACAGGUUUUUCAAAGACAACAGUAUCCCGUGGUCCAAUUUGGUGAGCAUGAUGAUGGACUCCUGUGCAGUGAUGCGGGGCAGCAAGACGGGCCUGGAAACCAGAGUGCGACACAACCUCUGCCCAGAGCUUCUAGACAUCGACGGGGACUCAUGCCAUCACAUUCAUAAUGCGUCAAAGAGAUUUUCCAGUCCUUUCAACGGUCAUCUAGAGCAGCUCUUCAGUGACCUUCAUGUUGAUCACAAGUGGGCUUCUGACCAGCGGGCUUACCUCCGAGAGAUCUGUAAAUACAUGAGCAUUCCUGGAUCAACUCCAAAGAGAUUCAUCCAGCAUCGUUGGCUGUCAUCUUAUGAUGUUGGAAUCAGCACUCAGACCAUGCUUCCUGCUUACAAGGUCCUGUACUUUGGGUUCAUGGAUAAAGAAGACAAGGCUCUCUACAAAGAACCUUGGGAACAACUUUAUGCUGCUCACCAUGUGAGUGAAAAGGCCCAGAGACACAUUCAGUCUUUUCACAAGGACCUCAGCGGGAAAGGAAUGACACAGCAGGGCAGAGACCGAAAGCAGCGGUUGGUCAAGAAACUGUGGCAUGAAGACACCAAAACAGAGCUCCAUCUCAGUGUCUACACAGGUGUCCUGGCUGUUCUGAAAGAAUACGUCAUGGCAUUCCAGAGUCGUGACACCCUUGUGCACAAGUUGCAUGACAAGCAGCUGCAGGUUUUCACCAACUUCCUGGCAUGCUUUGUGAAGCCAGAACACCUGCCACCAAUCCCCAGGACCCUGGCAGGUCUCGAACUCGAGGGAGACAAACUGCUGCCGGCAAGAGACCUGUAUGUGGGUCGAGUGGAAGAUAGAUUCAGACGGGAGCAUCCUCAACACCAUCUGCUGAAGCCCUUCCUGGACCAAGUACUCCAGGCAUACAUCUCAUGUGGGGUAUACCUGCAGAGCAAGCUGCCACUGGAGAGCAUGACCUUGCAGUGCCUGUCUGCUGUUGACCCUAUUGCAAGGGGGCACUCCAAGACUGGACGUCUGCUUAGACGACUUGCGGAGAUGUUCACCAAGUUCCUCCCUGCUGAUGUGGAUGUUCAGCAAGAGGUUCUCCAGUAUGGCGUAGACCAGAGCCUGCCAACCUUCAGAGAAGGAGAUGAUGCUGUCAGCUGGUGGGCAGCUGUCUUUGAAACGGGAAGGUAUCCAGGGCUCAGCAUGGCAGUAAAGGCAGCAUUGUCGGUGUUCCAUGGGCCAACAGUGGAGUCUUCAUUCAGUCUAAUGUCUGAAAUCAUAGACUCGAAAAGUGGCAGCAUGAACAUUUCCACUCUGAGUGCCAUCAAAACUGUCAAACACACCUUGCUGACCCGGAAGCAGACGGCAGUGGAGAUGUUUAAAAGAGAAGACCUUAAGCAUGGGCCAGUGGACCAAAGGAUGUGCCACAACAUCAUGUCGGCCGGAACCAAGGACAAAGCUCUGAGGAAGCAGGCAACCCUAAAGGAGAUGGAAAGAAGGACGGAGUUUGCCUGCCAGCCAUCCUCAAGUGCUGCCGCAGCAAGAAGAGCCGAGGCAGAAGAGGAGGCGCUGGCCAGAAGGCGGCAUGCGGCCAAACAACGCAAGAGAGCUUGCGAAACACUCGUCAAGGCUAAGCGACAAAAAUAAAAAAUUGUGGCAGUUGUAAAUAAAAUAUAAUUUAUAAGCCUCAAGGAGUUUUUGACAAUGAUUUUUGAGAAAGUAUGCUGAGUUUUGUUAAGUCACGCUCAGACUAGUGUCAUUUGCAUAGUACCAUCAAAAAAAUAUCCCCCUGUGACACUGUCACCUUUUUUCCUCUGAGGAGUUUGCAGGUCUGAUAAUGGGAAUUUUCUU
ensembl:lncRNA